rnacentral:rRNA from 1 species
UUGGAGGGCAAGUCUGGUGCCAGCAGCCGCGGUAAUUCCAGCUCCAAUAGCGUAUAUUAAAGUUGUUGCAGUUAAAAAGCUCGUAGUUGAAUUUCGGGACCAAUUUGUUGGUCGUGCCUCGGUGCGUACUGGUAUUAUUGGUUUCUCCCUUCUGAAGAACCUUGAUGUCAUUAAUUUGGUGUCUUGGGAAAUCAGGACUGUUACUUUGAAAAAAUUAGAGUGUUUAAAGCAGGC